UAGCUUUUCUUCUAUAAUCUGCUCAAACAUCUGCUUCUCGCCUCUACUGCUGCCGCUGUGUUCCAGCCAUUACCAGCUGGAGACUUGACAUGACUCCACCACUGGUCUUCAUGCUUCUGGUUUUCCCACCACCAGUUCGUCUCCACAUGCAGCCUCAGGGAGUCCUUAAGGCAUUAAGCAGAUUGUAUUGUUUAAAAAAAAAUCGUUUGCUGAGGUGCAAGUCAGCACGGAAUACAGGAGACCUGUUUCAGAAAACAAACUUUGCUGGUUUGCUUCAGUUGUCAGUUUGAUACGCCUGGGAUGAGGACUUGCUUCCAUUGGACUGGUCUGCCCAUGCCUGUGAGGCAGUUUCUUGAUUGCUGAUGGAUGUAGGAGGCUCAGCCCACUAUGGGUGACGCCAUCUCCAGGCAGGUGGAUCUGGGCUGUAAGAUGUGUUCCUGGAUGGAUCCUGCUUCAGCUCCUGUCUUCUUUCCUGCCCUGACUUCCCUCAGUGAUGAACCUGGGAAAUGUAAGAUGGAACAAACCUUUUCUUCCCCAAGUUGGUUUUGGCUAGUGUUUAACACAGCAUCAGAAACCUAACUAGAAUAGAAAUUGGCACCAGGAUCAUGGAGGUAUUGCUGUGAAGGACAUGACCGUGCUCUUUUGGGAGGAUUGUGGAAGCAUUUGGGACUUUGAGCCGAAAAAAGUUGUUGAAUGCUCAUAACUGUUCAGUGGGAGCUUAGAGAAAUGCAGCUGUCAGAGGCCCGGCUUGUGAAGUUUCAGGGGGAAAUCUGAGAGUCCCACAAAGACUCUAUCAUGUGAUAUUUAAAUUUGUAAAGGUCAAACCUUUUGUGUUUUACUGAGACAACUGAUGCUAGUUAGAUGGAGCUGAAAAGUCAACUGCAAUUAAUAAGAGACCAGUAUCAUUGAGGUGAAAUCUUUUGGGUAGUGUUUCCUCAGGGUCAGCAAAUGGACACUGUGGUCCAGAGGGGGCCACAGCUGCAUCUCAAGCUAGAAGUCCAACUUGGCAAUGUGUAAGAGUCUUACUGGUUUUAGUUAUAUGAAAGUUGCAGAAUUUAAAGGGUUAUGGAGGAAUACUGAGGCUUUGUACCCUGAGAAGUCAUUGGUGAAGGUGCAGCCUCAGUUGUAGUGAGACCCCAGUAUAUUGGAGAUGCCAGGACUCUAGGAUGACCGUCAAGGACAGUUGCAGAUGUGGAGUGGAGCCAGCCUGAGCCUAUGAAGCAAACUCUUUGUGCUGUGUAUGGCAGAGCCAGAGAAGUAGAGCUGCCCAAGCCCUUUGGAGCCCAGAAUAGAGUGAGUGACUCAGAUGUCAGAUUUUGAGCUAUAUUGCUGGACUUUGGUAUUGCUUAAAUGUACUUGCUUAUUCCCUUUUGAAAUAAAGUAUUUUCUUUGUUUCAGA